GAGGGGUUAGGUUUUCGGACCUAGAGACCGGCGCACGGGUGCGUAACGCGUAUGCAAUCUACCUUUUACAGAGGGAUAGCCCAGAGAAAUUUGGAUUAAUACCUCAUAGUAUUAUGAAGUGGCAUCACUUUAUAAUUAAAGUCACAACGGUAAAAGAUGAGCAUGCGUCCCAUUAGCUUGUUGGUAAGGUAACGGCUUACCAAGGCAACGAUGGGUAGGGGUCCUGAGAGGGAGAUCCCCCACACUGGUACUGAGACACGGACCAGACUCCUACGGGAGGCAGCAGUGAGGAAUAUUGGUCAAUGGGCGCAAGCCUGAACCAGCCAUGCCGCGUGCAGGAUGAAGCAUCUAUGGUGUGUAAACUGCUUUUGUACGAGAAGAAACACUCCUACGUGUAGGAGCUUGACGGUAUCGUAAGAAUAAGGGCCGGCUAACUCCGUGCCAGCAGCCGCGGUAAUACGGAGGGUCCAAGCGUUAUCCGGAAUCAUUGGGUUUAAAGGGUCCGUAGGCGGUUUUGUAAGUCAGUGGUGAAAGCCCAUCGCUCAACGGUGGAACGGCCAUUGAUACUGCAAGACUUGAAUUAUUGGGAAGCAACUAGAAUAUGUAGUGUAGCGGUGAAAUGCUUAGAUAUUACAUGGAAUACCAAUUGCGAAGGCAGGUUGCUACCAAUACAUUGACGCUGAUGGACGAAAGCGUGGGGAGCGCACAGGAUU
rnacentral:rRNA from 1 species